AUUUAAAUAGUUUAAUUUAAAAUAUUGAUUUGUGGAGUCAAUGAUGUAGCUUAUACUUUAAAUA
rnacentral:tRNA from 1 species